CUAUGUGCGCUAUCGUAGCUCAAAUCGACAAUUUAUCAUAGAACUUGAAAUUACCAAGUUUUAUUCAGGGAAUUACCCUCUUCGUAACCUCAAACAUAUCUCAAAUAGUUCACAACAAUUCAACAAUUACCUAAAUAUGCACUCUCUCCCGAGUUAUGCACACUAAAUAGGCACAGCUAAUUGAGGAUCCUAUCAAUUAACUACAACAAGAACGUAGUUGAACAAAUAGAGAUUAAACCAGACAACUAUAUUAACAUAACAAGAAGUUCAUCCUUCAAUAGGUUCCAUCAAAACCUUAGACUAAAUAUUUAGCUAUUCAUACUAGGAUUCAUCACAACAACAUUCAAAUUCAUCACAAAUCGUAAAAACAAAAAGGAAGAAAGGAAGAACUCGAUGUUGAAUUAUCCUCCUUGCCUCUUGCCUCUCCUUGCCUUGAACUAAGCUAUGAAAACCUUGAUAAUCCUCUCUUGGGCGAGCUAGACCUUCUAUAGGUUAAGUGGAUUUGCCCCCGAACUUCCAAUUUUACCCCUGCAAUUUACUCUUCCGGAACUGGGCUAGCGCGGUCGCACUAAUGGACGCGCUAGUCCAGGUCUUCAUUUCAUCUCUUCUUUUUCUCGUCUUCCCACGUACUCAGCUCCUAGGGGCUUUUCUUGCUUCAAUUUAGCUCCAAUCAUAGCUUUAAGGCCUCAUAUAUGCUACUCCCUCCUACAACGUGUGAAAUUCACAAUUAGAGCCAAUUUAUCAUCAUUUAACUAUAUUAUCACAAUGAAACAUAAUCAAGCUGAGGCAUAAACAAUCGCCAAAUUACAUAAAUCUAGCCUAUUAUCAGACACAUUGUGCAUUCAAUGGGCUCCAUUUAUUCCGAAAUUAUUUUUGCAGACAUUAUUUCGACAUUCUGUUGCUGCUAACUUUCUGUUUUUGUUUUCUGUUUCAGAAAGUUUACUGUUUCAUUAUUUAUUAUAGUGAUACAAAUUUCAAUAAUAGCAAUAAAUGACAUUUAUGUAAAUAAGGAGAAUGAUUCAGCCAAUAAUGAACGAGAUAGAUGAUUAUUCUUCCUGACAAUGAUAAAUGACAGACGAAUCCAAGACAUUUAUGUAAAUAAGGAGAAUGAUUCAGCCAAUAAUGAACGAGAUAGAUGAUUAUUCUUCCUGACAAUGAUAAAUGACAGACGAAUCCUAGAAUGUCGAAACUAUUCUCGGAUCUGAUGAAAAAGUGUGGAAUAAUGUGUGUGAGAAUAUUGAUGAAAAGGUAAAGUUAGUAUCUUUGCUAGGGAGAGAGAGGGUCUUCUUUUCAAGAAGUGUUCUUGUCAAGUGAAUAUUAUGUGCCUUACACCAUUGUCUCUUUUCCUCUUUAUAUGAGACAUGUCCCUAACAAACCCUAAUAGUACAAGUGCAGAGAAUAGAAUAUUCUUUUUAACAUCCUAUUAUAAAAACUAGCCGUUAUUGUUCUAUUCUUGGUGCUCGACCUCGGUCGUUGUUGACAGCCCGACCGCGAAUCUCACUGCUUCCUGGUCGACCUCGACUGGCCCUUUCCGUAAUGCCACUUCACGCUAAAUUUCCUUAGGGCAUAUUUUGUCUUAUACAACCAUAUAUCAAAAGAAACCAAAUUCCUAAACCAUUGGAGCGUCUUGUGAAAAUAACACUAAUAUGAAUACUGAAGCUACACAUUAUCAAUCUGAAGUGUCAAAGAUGUGAAAACAAAAAAUGACAUGAGAGUGAAUUACAGUAAUAAUAAGAAUAAAGUAUAUGGGUAGAGCAAAGUCUCCUAGACAAUUUGAUUAAAUGGUCGGCGUCAAUGGCCAAUGGUUCACAUUCGGAUCAUAAAUGAUGAUAUGGAUAAAAACCAUUAAAAUGGAACAAGCAUGUCAUGAACCACUGCUAGUUCUCAGAGAUCGGAGUUGUAGAUUUUGUAGGAGGUGAAGAGCAAUGGAGGAGAGGAGCAACAUUAAAGAAUUGCAAACAUUUAGAUUUUUUUCCUUCAAAUUGAUGUUUGACUGGGGAUAACGCAAGGGCAGCUUUUGGGAACAUAACAUAAGUUUUUGAUGCCUCAAUUUCUCAACAUGAUUAAAAUUACUCACCUUCAGCAAAUUGUCCUAUGCCUUAAAAGAUCCUCAUAUCAAAUCCCUAAAAACCUUUUUUCCUCACUUUAUGGAGAACCUAGCAGCCAAUAUUUUCUGCAUUUGAAGAAUGAAUAUUAAAAAGUGAUGGAACUUCUGCAAUUGCAAGUCUUAAAGGUAAUGUUAAUAGAGGUAAACUACUAUUAAAUUACUCAAGCUUCAGCAAAUCGUCCCUUAUUUGCUACAGAAUCCUCAUCUCAAUUCUCUAAGAACCAAAUUUGCCUCGCUUGGAGAACCUAACAAGCCGUUAUUUUUUGCAUUUGAAGAAUGAGUAUUUAAUAGUUGAAGAUUUUUAACUGCACGUCUGGAAGAUAAGUAGCUUCAAGCGUUAUAAAAAUUGUGAACCACACAAUGGAUAUUCCCUCUCAAUGUUAAAUGCAAAGGUUAGAGGCAUGAUGGAUCAGGAUCAACCAGAACNUCAGAANCUGUCAUNN
rnacentral:lncRNA from 1 species